AGAUGUGGCAGUGAUCAAAGCUAGUGGAGUGGUGUAGUCCAGAAAGAAGGUUUGCUUGUCACAUUUUACAAUGUUCCAAAUGCCUGACUUGGAACUCCAGUACCAAGAAGCUUUGUAUAAAAAAUUGUUGGCGUGGGCUGGGCGUGAUGGCUCAUGCCUGUAAUCCCCAGCACUUUGGGAGGCCGAGGCGGGCGGAUGGCCUGAGGUCAGGAGUUAAAGACCAGCCUGGCUGAUUUUAAAGCAUAAAUAAUUUUUUCCUCCAAAGUAUAAUUUAAUUUUUCUAGAAAAGUUCAAACAGGCUUUGUAGUUUUUGACAAUAUUCAAGCAUUUUUCAUACAUAGGAUAAAAACACAUCUUAUUAACUUUUUUCUUUGGAAAAAUAUUCAUAUUGCACAGAAGUAUGUCAAGUAAAAUGUGUCCUUUCCC
rnacentral:lncRNA from 1 species